CAGUCGCCGCGGUAAUACAGAGGGUGCAAGCGUUAACCGGAAUUACUGGGCGUAAAGCGCGCGUAGGUGGUUUGUUAAGUUGGAUGUGAAAUCCCCGGGCUCAACCUGGGAACUGCAUCCAAAACUGGCAGGCUAGAGUAGGGCAGAGGGUGGUGGAAUUUCCUGUGUAGCGGUGAAAUGCGUAGAUAUAGGAAGGAACACCAGUGGCGAAGGCGACCACCUGGGCUCAUACUGACACUGAGGUGCGAAAGCGUGGGGAGCAAACAGGAUUAGAUACCCCGGUAGUCCCUGUCUCUUAUAA
rnacentral:rRNA from 1 species